CACUCGGUAGCAUGGAACUAAGUGCAAGAUAUUUCUCUUUAAACCUAGCUGCCUACGGUUACGGGAACAAGGAGUAAUAGAGGAUGUGAAGGACGUUCCUUAGCGAGAACUUCUCAAUUAAAUCUUAGCUCUCUAAGUACAGCAACGGUACGUACUACGUUCCGACGGCGAACCUUCGCAAAGGCGGCCCGACUCCGGCAGGUUAAUUGCUCGCGACGGCAUCUGCCUCUUGCCGUGUGUCUACCUAAGCGAGGCGGCCCUCGCACGACUAUUGCACAAAGCUCAUCUCCUGCUCUCUGUUAGCUUCUCCACGCAGACUUCCCUGUACUCUGUUAGCGGAGUUAAUCCUUUUCGUCUCUAAUUAUCCUAAUUAAUUUAGGAUUGUUAAAAAAGAAGAGGUGCGACCGUAUAAAAAGAACGAUGGAGUUCGGUGGUAAUGAAAGACAAUUAAGGGUGAUGAGGCCGGCAAGAUAUUCUAAUUGACUCCUCCGUAAACUUGCCGGCCGGCCUCAUCAUUGCAGCGGGCAUAAGUCUUCGGAUAGUGCUACCAAGGGAAUAGAAGGGAGUUAGUUAUAUAGAAGUGUUUUAAACGGAAGUCUCAGAAGUUUAUUUUUGUCAAGGGAAAGUGUAGGAGAGGGGCUACAUGAAGUGCUCGGGCUGAAGAGGGAUCGUCGCAUCCAUAUACUUCUACACCGCCGCCGAACUCCCUUAAUCCGCCGCCUCCGGACCCCUGCUGUACCGCCACCUACACUGACCUACCGACCUCCGGAAGCGGGUGGUGGGUGUGUAGCCUUGGUGGAGGGCGCAGCAGAGGUUCAGGCAAUCAAGAAGAAGACGGACAACCAGAGACAAUCAAGCAGUGAGGUAGUAGUCCGGUAGUCAGUAGUCAGUAGUGAUGUCUACCUCGUUUCUACUCGUAAGUCAACAUGAAAGGUGUAGGUGACUAAGGUGGUACGUCCACGUGUUUUUCAAUACAGUAGGUUACGUGUAUUAAUCAGUCUUCUCCCUCGAAAUACUACGUCCUACGUUGGCUUUGAGGUAGAAAUUCUACGGACUACUUUUCAAAGGAAGAGUACUAAACGAACUUAUGCCUUUAUUCUUCGUAAACGCAGAAACCGUCGGUUGGAAACAUCUGACCUAGCAACAACAUACACGGUGUUAAGGGAGGUGCCUUGUGUUCGGUUCCUACUCAGCCAACCCGUAGACAAGUUGCACACAGGAAAGUGAUUCCUUCAAACCGUUGAGUCUCCGACGUUCGUAGGACCGAACCACGGGUAACGUAAGAAGUCCGGCCCUGGUAAAGAGGGAAACGAAAUGACGAAACAAAGGACAGAAUUCCUGUUUUCAACGCAGUAGUAUACAGCGAACCGUAUAGACCUUGCUCGCGUUCUAUCUAAAUAGCAUAGUUUUGACGUCUGAAUUCUUCUACGCAAUAACGGUACGCUACCUUUAAACGUACCUUGACUUCAAGUUCAACCCAGUCUUUCCGAGAUUUUUAACACCAGAAGUCGUUAGGAUAACGAAAGUUUCGCCUGUGUGUACCUACACGGACAGCUCUUCCUCACGAGCUCUAACGGAGAUAAAACCACUUCCACGUCAACACGCGGAAGUGGGUUAUCGUUCCAAUGAGACGUAUUCGCGACUUCUUAUU
rnacentral:rRNA from 1 species